GCUCGCCUCUGGGAGAAGCUGACCCUGGCCUUCAUUCCAGGCUUUUACUGCAGAGCUAUGACAGGUGUUCGGCAUAGGUGCCUUCAGCCCGAUGCAGCCCGUGGCAUCAUGAGACUUGGGGACCAGACAGUGGCAGAUUUUUGUAAAUGGGACGUCAGUGAGUGGCCUUCUGAUGCGGGCGAACCUCUGGAUCCUGGCGUGGCGACUAGACAGACGUCCUCUACCGGUCAGACAUCAAGAGACCUCGGCAGCGACCAGUCCAGCUCCCACUGCAGGGCCACAGCCAAGGGGGCCUGAGUCGGGGCACACCGGCAUCCCACCAGAGGAGCACAAACCCUGCCGACAGGGGAAUCUCUGUCGACAGGUCAACCAUUUUGUCUCCCGGUGCCCAAUAAAAGGCAGGUCUAACACGUAGAUUGGGUAGUACUUGUGAGCCGAACCCUUUUAGAUCAGCCCCCCAACCCUCGAACCGCUGAGUCACGCCAGACCAUCCAGGCCCACAUGAUGAAGUGUCCACAGCUACCGCUGAUCCUGGGUCACGCCUGGCUCCACCGUCACAACCCGCACAUUAACGGGACCACUGGGGCCAUUUUGACAAAAUGAAACAGGAACUAGAGAAUGAAUAAUAAAACACAACAUAAACGUAGUUUAAGGAGUCAGGCGAGACGUGACAUGUUCCUCUGUACAAGCUAUGAACGUGUAAAAUGAAUGAAACAUGUUUGUUUGGUGUCUUCUUAAUACGUCUUUCCUGUAAGUUUGUGAUCACUAACAUGAGUCAAAGGUCGGGAGUGUUCACAGGCCCUUUGAAAACAACCUCACGGCUCUCUCACGGGCCAACAGCUGUUAUUUUAUUACUGGAUAUCUUACCAGGCGUCGUGAACUCAACUUGAUCUGGCCGACUGUGUUUUCUUUCUAAAUUUGGCAAGAGCCUUCCCCCAACCAGUAAGUGAAAGUCUGACCCUGGUGGACACGCUGAUGAGUUUUUAAGUGCACGCUCAGCCAAGUCUCUCUCAACAGAAAGCAGAGUAGGGUUUCCCUCCCUCAUGAGGUCACUGUUGUCUUUGGGACAGAUACCAUUUCGUCAGUUUCCUGCAUCUUAUCUUUGCGUAUUGACUCAUGUCUGCAGGUAGGAAUCGUUGCCUUCAUUCUAACGGAAAGUCACAUUAGGUUGAGGUGUUCCAUCAGUGCAUUGACAGCAUGUCUGCAAGACCAAUGAUCACAUCACCAUCACUUAAACUGACCAGUGUCAGUCAUGUCCGGGCUUGUGUUAUCCCUGCAGCAUAAAUGUACAAUCACAGCAGCUGGAAAUGCAAGCGGCCUCUUUGAGAUGGGAGCGAGAUGUUAAACAUGAAGUAUUUUCUCUGUGCUCUCACUGCUGCUAUUAUUGCUUUUGGUUUGUGGGUUAAUGCAGUGCAAAACACAAACAGUGAUACGUCAACGUACUUUUGUCCCACAGGGGGCAGCAUCUGUCUGAGGUAAUCACUCGUUUUCAUUUAAAAUCAGUUUUUUUGUUUGUCAUGAAGACAACUUGCUGGGUUGUUGUUUUCAAAAGCUGUAUCAAGUCUACAUUUCCAUGCAUUGACAUUUCAACACUAUAAGCGUCAUGCAAUUUGCAGGCAUUGGGUAUUCAGAUGCUUUACAUAAGUUUAAAAAUACCACUAAUACUGCUCAUGUAGUCCUGCGAGUAUUUCUUCAAAGUAAAAGUAACUCUAGUAUUUAAAGAAAUAACAAACGUUAUGAAGAACAGUCCUUGUUAUGAGCAGCAUUUAAAUGUACCCUUUCAGGGUGAAGCUUACUAGUUGUUGUUGGGGAAUUAAACUCAUCAUUAAUCAUAUUUUAUAAAGUUACCGUUUUAAUCCUAAACUUAAAAAUCGUCAAAAGCUACAGCUUCCAGAUACAAGUAAAUGCAAAGUGCAAUAUUUCCCCUCUAAAAUUGAACUAAGUUGUUUCCACAUUUUUUUCCAAUUUACUUAAUUGUUGUGAUACAAUAAUCAACAAUGACAACAAAUAUAUGCAAAUGCUCAUUGUGAUAAGUUAGACAACGUAAACAGAUUUUAAGAUCAACCCCAGUCUUAAAAAAGUCAAAAUUACAAAUGUCCAUAUGCCAAAUGCUUGAAGAAAAGGUUUAUACCAGUCAAAAGUCAAACGAAAUGAGUGAGACCAUAUCCACAGUAUUUUAUACAAAUGCAACUUUAUUUUCAUAUUUAUUUUCUUGAAAUAAAAACUGCUCUAUCGACUCAGGUUCAAGACCAUUCAUCGAACUGGUAAUUUGCGUAAUUAAUAGAAAAAUAACUCAAAUGUCUGCUGUAAUCAUAGCAUAAGAGGUGGAGGUGAGUGAGAGAAGGUUCUGUCUUUCUGCAGCUUCACUUUGAUAAAAAAAAAAAAACUGAAAAGAAAAAUGUCCCUGUCAGCAAAGUGUGAAGCUGCUGUGUCCUCAUCGCCGCUCCCUCUAUGAUUUCCCCACUCAGACAUAUUAAGCAUUCCUCAGCUGAGCAGUGAUAAUCCCCCAAAACUCUGCACAUUGCGUCAUGAAAACCAACACUUGUCUCCUCACUCUGCGAUGGAGCACACUCGACGGGACUGUGGUGCAACAUGAGCGUACACAAAGCACUGAAACCACAAACAGAUAUUCCUUCAGUUCUAAUGCGUCAGAAAAUGUCCUUUGUACGGUGGCCCUGAAAAAACCAUAUUAGAAAAAACACCAGCGGGGUUCAAAAAACAGACAGCAGGGGUUUUUAAUUCUCACUCUACGUGUAUCCCUUUUCACUUUCUGAAAUCUUCAAGUGCAGACACAUAUUCCUAUAAAGUAUAUUAAAUAGAUAUUUGUGAGAUUCUUCAUUUGACAAAUUCUUUAAGAUGUGUGAUUGUCUAAUUUGAACACCUCCAUUUCCGAUGUGAUUUGCACUUCAGGGCCACCGUACCCCAGCCUCUGUUUUAUUAUUGCCAGAGGUUUAUAUUCACAGGCCUUAGAGUCAGAUCCAGUUGCUGCUUGACUUUCUUUUAGCAUCGCUGCUGCGGAUAAAUCAAUCCUGUUGACCUUUGACCUUUGGAAUAGCAGGCAUACAACAUAACAGGGUCGUGAACUCUGAUUGAGGGUCAAUGCGGCUGUCACCUGUGCAAAGCCACUAUGUGGAACAGCUACAAACACACACACACACACACACACGCAUACGAGUGUGUGAGCCCCUGCAGCUCCACUUUCCCUGGACUCAGCCAUUUCCCAGCUGACCGUUCAGCUGUUGCCAACACAUGUCCACUUGAUAACUGUUGCCCCAGCUCAGAACUCAGCGCACUGGUUUAACAAGCAGUAAUGAUUUUAAUGAAAGCCCCUCUGCUUCAGUCUGUGGUGUUACCCUCAAUCUGUAAUUCAACAGAGUGCCUUACUUUGAUGGUUGCAUCGAGAGGACCUCAAACUGGUUUCAUUUCAAAACGCUGUUUAUUCUGUUUGACGUGUGUUGAUCUGUGCUAUGCGUGAGAAAGUGUGACAGGCCCUGAAUUCCUCUGAUGCAGCUCUGUCGCUGGGUUAGAUUAAAACGCAUAUUGACAUGCGCACACAUUGUUAAAGAAGAAUGCUCAAAAGGUUUUGCAGCUUUUAUUGAUGUUUUUUUUUUAUAUAUUUUAUUUAUGUUUAUUUGAUGAUUUAAAUAAGAAAUCCAAUGCUCAUUUUGUAACACGGGUCAGGAAAAGUGCAUCACAUGGCUAUACUGGUGCAAAAGCAUGAAUUUGUGUUAAAGUCUGAAUACAUGUGGUUUUGGUGCAUGUGCUGUCUUGUGUGAUUACGACUCAGUCUUGCACAUAAUGGAAGAUUACAACCACUGUCGUAUGCUUCCAAUUUAUAUGUCACGAAAGAGGCAAUGCAAUGUUUGUCAUUUGUAAAUAUAUGAUUGGGAUCGUGGA